rnacentral:rRNA from 1 species
CCUACGGGGGGCAGCAGUGGGGAAUAUUGGACAAUGGGGGGAACCCUGAUCCAGCCAUGCCGCGUGUGUGAAGAAGGCCCUCGGGUUGUAAAGCACUUUCAGUGAGGAAGAACGCCUGGUGGUUAAUACCCAUCAGGAAAGACAUCACUCACAGAAGAAGCACCGGCUAACUCCGUGCCAGCAGCCGCGGUAAUACGGAGGGUGCGAGCGUUAAUCGGAAUUACUGGGCGUAAAGCGCGCGUAGGUGGCUUGAUAAGCCGGUUGUGAAAGCCCCGGGCUCAACCUGGGAACGGCAUCCGGAACUGUCAAGCUAGAGUGCAGGAGAGGAAGGUAGAAUUCCCGGUGUAGCGGUGAAAUGCGUAGAGAUCGGGAGGAAUACCAGUGGCGAAGGCGGCCUUCUGGACUGACGCUGACACUGAGGUGCGAAAGCGUGGGUAGCAAACAGGAUUAGAUACCCUUGUAGUC